rnacentral:snRNA from 1 species
AUCGCUUCUCGGCCUUUUGGCUCAGAUCAAGUGUAGUAUCUGUUCUUAUCAGUUUAAUAUCUGAUACGUCCCCCAUCGGGGACUACAUAUUAAAUGGAUUUUUCGAACAGGGAGUCGGAAAUGGGGCUUGCUCCGUCCGCUCCACGCAUCGACCCGGUAUUGCAGUACCUCCGGGAAUGGUGCAACACUU